rnacentral:rRNA from 1 species
GACGUAGGAUGCAAGCGUUGUCCGGAAUUAUUGGGCGUAAAGAGUUCGUAGGCGGUUGCCUAAGUCUGAUGUUAAAUACUAGAGCUCAACUCUGGCAUGGCAUUGGAAACUGGGCAGCUAGAGUGCGGUAGAGGUCUCGGGAAUUCCAGGUGACGCGGGUGAAAUGCGCAGAGAUCGGGAGGAACACCCGGUAGCCGAAGGCGGCACUCUGGGCCGGUACUGGCGAC